CAUUAUCGAACAACCGAGGCGCGAGGGCUGUCGCCUGACCUCCAAAGGGUCGUGCACGCCCGAGCGCUCUCGCACAAAAUCCAUCUCACCCCUUUGUGCAUCACCGCGCGGGUCCCCCCUUUGCAGGAGGGCUCACGUUUUCACACAAAAUUUGAUACAGUCUAGAAUGUUUUGUUUUUGCGGUCACACGCAAUCAAUACAACUUUCAACAACGGAUCUCUUGGCUCUCGCAUCGAUGAAGAACGCAGCGAAAUGCGAUACGUAAUGUGAAUUGCAGAAUUCAGUGAAUCAUCGAAUCUUUGAACGCACCUUGCGCCCCUUGGCAUUCCGAGGGGCACACCCGUUUGAGUGUCGUGAAAUCCUCAAAGCCCCCUUUUCUUUCAUCGGAACGGGGAUUUUGGAUCUUGGAGGUUCAAUGCUUGCUUUUGCUUUCAAAGGCGAGCUCCUCUUAAAUGAAUCAGUGGGGUCCGCUUUGCUGAUCCUUGACGUGAUAAUAUGUUUCUAACGUUUUGGAUCUGGCAACUGUUUUCUCCGCUCCUAAUCGUCUCAUUGACAAUGAUGGUGCUUGGGUCCCCUGCCAUCUACGUUGGCGGGAGGCUGGACCCACAAAAAUAAAACCUUGACCUCAAAUCGGGGUGAGACUACCCGCUG
rnacentral:rRNA from 1 species